rnacentral:tRNA from 2 species
CGGGAUGUAGCUCAGUCUGGAUUAGAGUGCACGCUUGGGGUGCGUGAGGUCGCUGGUUCGAAUCCAGUCAUCCCGA